AUCCAGCUGGCGAGUCUCAAACAGGACGAAAUGCACGUUAUCCUGGAU
rfam:Trichobilharzia regenti genome assembly, scaffold: TRE_scaffold0115983